AUCAAAUUCAACUUUCCUGUUCUCUUCUCUUCUUCCAUCUCCCUUUUGUUACGGGAGAAUAGAUGGUGAAAAAAUCAGUUUUUGUCCGAGAAUAGAACUCCUCUUAUUCUCCCUAAUUUUUUUCCCUCAUGUGUUGGAAUCAUGUACUCACGGGGAAAUCUUCGUCGCCCUUUAAGGACAGGAAUGGCUUUUACUUUUUCUCUCAGUUUUAUUUCCUCUUUUUCUCCCCUUAUGCAUAAUUGUUUCCUUACUUUCUUGCCAUAACUGUUCUGUUUUUUCCUUUUUUUCAACAAUAAAACUUCGUUGCACUUUAAGAAAGGAAAUAAAAAAUUUAUUAAUGUUUUGUCUCCUUGUCUUAUUGCCUAGCUUGAUCUGAUUCAUGCAUCUUGAAGAGCAAACGUUCAGGAGGAGAAAAGGAAAGAAUAGUUUGAUGCUGUU